rnacentral:lncRNA from 1 species
CCUCCGUCUCCGACUGGUGGCAAACUGUCUCCCUCUACACCGACCAGACCGGCGCCAACAUCUCCCGCUCCGUCUCCAUCGCCGGCGAGUAUUCCGACCUCCUCUACUCCCACGGCACGCACCUCACGCGCCUAUCAGUGCAGGAGGUCAUCGCGACCGCCGUCCGCGCCAAGCCCUUCCCCGUAGAUCAUCGCAACGGGAUCUACCUGAUCCUCACGGCCGAGGACGUCACCAUGGAGGACUUCUGCCGCGCCGUCUGCGGCUUCCACUACUUCACCUUCCCCUCCAAGGUCGGCUACACCCUCCCCUACGCCUGGGUUGGGAACUCCGGCAAGCAGUGCCCGGAAGUGUGCGCCUACCCCUUUGCCGUCCCCGGAUACAUGGGCGGAGGCGGCCCCGGCCACCUCACUCCGCCCAAUGGCGACGUGGGCGUGGACGGCAUGAUCAGCGUCAUCGGGCACGAGCUGGCCGAGCUCUCCUCUAACCCCCUGGUGAACGCCUGGUACGCCGGCGAGGACCCGACCGCACCCACCGAGAUCGGUGACCUCUGCGAGGGCUUGUACGGAACGGGUGGUGGAGGUGGUUAUAUCGGGUCCGUCAUGAAAGAUGGAGAAGGAAGAACGUUCAAUAUAAACGGUAGAAACGGAAGAAAGUUUCUGGUGCAGUGGAUUUGGAGCCCCGUUUUGAAGGCUUGUGCUGGCCCCAAUGCUUUAGAUUGAAUUCACUUCAUACAUUGCAGCAUACUUACUUCAAUUCCUCUUUCUUUUUUUCUUACUUACUAUGUAUCAUAUCUGAUGAUGCUCUAUCAUUUUAUUUUAUUUUAUUUUAUUUUAUUUUAUUUUAUUUUAUUUUAUUUUAUUUUUUAACCUCCCUACUUCAAAGACCAAAUUAAUUCAUAUUUUUUUUUUUUCAUUCUAUGAGCUUAUCAAACUAUGGUUUUCAUGCACAACCAGAAGGACUCGUAUUCUUCUCAUAAAAAUAUCUAAAGCCAAGAAACUAUCUACAGCACUGUACACUUAUAAUAAUUGAAUGCUUUUUUCAAAUUAGAUUUUUUACAAAAGAAUAAUAAUAAUAAAAGAUAUGCUGGGAAUAUCACUGUCUCAGAUAGAUAUCAUCUCAUUACUAAAUUCGUUGAAUAAAAGUUAUAUGCAUUGCUAACCUAAUUAAUCUAUUAUUUCCGUAUUAUGAAUGGAAUUAAAUCUUACUGAAAGUGAGCGAUGAUGAGGCUGGGCAAGAAUCUUAAAUAGUUUGAUCGUGGAGCAUGAAAGUAAUAUUUUCUAACUCGUUUAACAUGUUAGGCUAAAUGAUUUGGUUAUGCAAUCAUCUAUAGUUUUAAUUGGUUGCCUUUUUAAAAUGUUGGUUACUGUAUCAAUUUCUUUAAAAGAGAAAAGAAAAAGCAACCUCCAAUUUUGUUAUGAAGAAAUUCAUCACCCACUUGGUUGGUUGAUAGAACUAAAACUAAUUUAUUGAGCUUUUAACGAAUAAUGAAAUGUCCCAUUUGAGUAAGAUGUAUUGUUUUCCAACAGUAUGUUGUUAUUGAUAGAUAUAAAAUUGGUAGAGUGUAGUUUCUUUCUACCUACCAAAAUGAAAGGAUUUUGAGGUGGUACUGAAAACUGCACAUGCAAACGUGAAGUGAAGUGAAGUGGUAAUGCAAAAACAGUAGGAAGAAGGGAGAAGCACCCACUUAGACAAAGGGCAAUGAUGGCACUAAUUAUGUUUGAUUGUAGGUUUUUGGCAUGUUUAGUUUUGGAUUGGAUGAAAGCUUCAAGAAAUUUUGUCCAUGCUGAAAGCUGUUAGCAAAUUCAGGCCCACUUUUACUACAAUAUUUGUUGUACACAGCUAAUCACAUGUCCCACACCGUGCACAAUUACAAAUAGCACCACCCAUCUUUUUAAAAUAUUCAUACACAUUUCUCUCUCUAAUUUGUCUGAGUUUCUUUAUUCCUAUCUCACACAAAUACUU